GUGUGGCGUAGUCAAAUGGAGGAAAUUAGACCUAAUCUUUUUUUACCCUUCUGCUAUUUUUGGGUCGAGAGAGAGCCAUUGUUCUUAAGAUAAAGGUUGUGUCUUUUUUUGUUUUGUUUUGUUUGCUCCUCUGCUUUUGUUUUCUAGUUUAAUCCAUGUUUUGAUUGAUUAUUGUUUUGUUUUGGUCUGAUGUAGUAUAUCAAGGCAAGUUGUCUUGUUGGUUUUAUGCUCUAGACUAGAAAUGGUUGCUUCUAUGAUUCAAUGAACGUGUUUUUAGGAUUUGUUUAUGGAUGCAGGACUCUUUAGAAGUGGCAAUGUUGAGAAUCCUUGGUUCUUCUUUGGAGCGUCUUGUUGAUCGUGUUUCCGGUAAUGGUGAUAUUGCUCUAUUUUUGCUUUGGUUUGUUAUGUAUCAAGAGACCUGAUUACUUUCCAAGAACUUGCCGGCGAAGUUACAAGUUCACAAGAACUUGGUAAGAGUUUUGGGUUGGUGUAAUAGCAGAAACCUGAGAGCUUUGGUUACAGAGUGGACUCAAGGAGAAACUGUUGAGACUUGGUUAAGUUCUUCAUCGGCUAUGUCAUGAAGAUUGGAGAUGGGAACAAUUCAUCAACAAGUAAGGGCUCUCUUCUCCUGAGAAAAAGACCAUUUGAUCAAGUUAAGCAAGCCAUUAUGCUUGGGCUGAUGUGUAGUGACAAACCACCAUUGAAGCAACCAACCUUGACGCAUAUUUAUGAAUCUUUUUUGUAUGAGUCUAGUUUAAGACAUGACUCAGAGAGAUGAGAGUUUAAUCUUUAUUUGCUUUGUUUUCAAUUUUCAGACAUGCUUAAGAUAAUACUUGUUUCAUUUGGCAUUGUUUAGGAUUUGAAUGUCUGUGUUUUUUUUUUUUUUUAUGAUUACUGCAAGUACUGAGAGAAUGAACACAUAAUUUUUUUCAACUUGCAAAACAGUUUCAGUUU